rnacentral:tRNA from 1 species
GGCAAGAUGGCCGAGCGGUUAAGGCGCUAGCUUCAGGUGCUAGUAGAGUAAUCUGCGUGGGUGUAAGUUUUCUCCAAAGUUCCUUGCUU